rnacentral:rRNA from 1 species
UACGUAGGGUGCGAGCGUUGUCCGGAAUUAUUGGGCAUAAAGGGCUCGUAGGCGGUUUGUCGCGUCGGGAGUGAAAACCAGGUGCUUAACACCUGGCUUGCUUUCGAUACGGGCAGACUAGAGGUAUUCAGGGGAGAACGGAAUUCCUGGUGUAGCGGUGAAAUGCGCAGAUAUCAGGAGGAACACCGGUGGCGAAGGCGGUUCUCUGGGAAUGACCUGACGCUGAGGAGCGAAAGUGUGGGGAGCGAACAGG